GUCCACGCCGUAAACGAUGCCGACUAGCCGUUGGGCCCUUAUAGGGUUUAGUGGCGUAGCUAACGCGAUAAGUCGGCCGCCUGGGGAGUACGGCCGCAAGGUUAAACUCAAAUGAAUUGACGGGGCCCGCACAAGCGGUGGAGCAUGUGGUUUAAUUCGAUGCAACGCGAAGAACCUUACCUACCCUUGACAUCCUCUUAAAGUUUUCAGAGAUGAGAAUGUGCCUUCGGGAAAAGAGAGACAGGUGCUGCAUGGCUGUCGU
rnacentral:rRNA from 1 species